CCUACGGGUGGCAGCAGUGGGGAAUAUUGGACAAUGGGGGGAACCCUGAUCCAGCCAUGCCGCGUGUGUGAAGAAGGCCCUCGGGUUGUAAAGCACUUUCAGUGAGGAAGAACGCCUGGUGGUUAAUACCCAUCAGGAAAGACAUCACUCACAGAAGAAGCACCGGCUAACUCCGUGCCAGCAGCCGCGGUAAUACGGAGGGUGCGAGCGUUAAUCGGAAUUACUGGGCGUAAAGCGCGCGUAGGUGGCUUGAUAAGCCGGUUGUGAAAGCCCCAGGCUCAACCUGGGAACGGCAUCCGGAACUGUCAAGCUAGAGUGCAGGAGAGGAAGGUAGAAUUCCCGGUGUAGCGGUGAAAUGCGUAGAGAUCGGGAGGAAUACCAGUGGCGAAGGCGGCCUUCUGGACUGACACUGACACUGAGGUGCGAAAGCGUGGGUAGCAAACAGGAUUAGAUACCCGUGUAGUC
rnacentral:rRNA from 1 species